AUCUUUUUGUGGUUCAUAAGCAUGAUUAUUGGGUUUUCACACCACAUGAGAGAUGUGCCUCCCUCAAACCUUGUUACAGUGUCAGCACAUUGAAG
rnacentral:snoRNA from 1 species